CGUCCGAGGAGGUUAAGCUGGUAUAGCAGCCAGCAUCUCCAUGUAUUCUAGUUUUGUAGUUGUCGGCGGAGGCCCUUUGUCUUCCAUUCUUGAACUGUCUUCAGUAAAGAGGAAAAUGGCUGGCUAUGUAAUAUAUUUACGUAGUUUUUUUUGCUAUAAACAUUGGACCAAUGUACAAUUUAGCUAUUGACAGGAUGUUUGUCCGUCUGUUAAACCGGUUUAAAAUAAAGUUAAGCGUUUUCGCUUUCAUACUCUUUCAG
rnacentral:lncRNA from 1 species